UAUCUUCGACCACUAUUAGGGACUCAAGAAAACAAGCAUGUUUUCAAAUGGUGCUCUGCACAGCCAUUGAUGUAUCUGUUUUGAUGCCAUUUUUCUUCACAAAAUGUGACAAUAAACAAGUAUCUCUUAAUAUAAAACAAAGUUCGAUUCUGCAGUUGUAUCUGGAAAUGGAUUACCACAAUAAGCUUAAAUCUAUUAAGAACAGUUUAACUGUUAAGAACAGUUUAACAUGUACUGCUAUAAGUUUCUCAUAUUUAGGAUUUUUUGAAGGAAAAUAGUUGCAUUGAGUUUCAGUGUGUGCG
rfam:Tinamus guttatus contig92028, whole genome shotgun sequence.